GUAUGUGCAAUACUCUGAACAAAACCACUUCCUUUGCUCUUAAGCCUAGGGAAUUAUAAAGACAACAUAGAAAAUGACUUAACUGAUAAUAUUAAAAAAGUAUAUGAAGGGUGAGAAGUUUGUAGCACAUACAUUCUCCCAAGUCCUAACUACCCUUAGAAAAAAAAAAACAUAGAAAGAUUCCUUGACUUCUAGACCUCUUUCUGAAUUGGGAUGCCAUGCCAUAUUGCCCCUUGGCAGAAUGUCAAGAAACUCGACUACCUAUAGACUUCAAUGUUACCCAACACUUCUCCAACCCCUUACAAACAUGUAUCCAAUCUCUAUUUUGUCUCCAUAGCCAUUUAGUCGUACACUUAUUUUUGUAUAGCUGUUGAUGAGCAUUCCAGUGAAGGUCUUACAAUUUGACAUAAUUUGCCAG
rnacentral:sRNA from 1 species